ensembl:processed_transcript Reno1 RIKEN cDNA 2810410L24 gene
UCUUCCCGGAGGGCUCAGAGUUCGUCCCCUUUUCGCGAUUGGGAACGUGGACACGCCGGAGCGUGGAUGCAGAAGGCCGCGCGGGAGCAGGGAGCUGGUGCGCAAGCCGCAGCCCAGCGUCCAGGCCGCACCACUCUCUGCUGAUCCAAAGGACUACGGAAACCCUGCGCGCCGACGGUGGCCUGGGAGUUGGCGCGGGCCCUGGCGCUAAAAAACGGAUCCCAUUUCCAGAAAGGCGGGCCGGGUAUCCCGCUCCUGCCUCCUGGAGAAUUAGCUCGGCGGAAGUCGACCAGCCGGGUAGGGAGGGAAGGAUGGAGGGACAGGCCUAGGGUCGACCAGCCGGGUAGAGAGUAGUUUCUGGGAGCUCCCUUGCCUACGGAGGGCCGGCGAGGCUGCCCUCAGAGCGCCGCCAGUUAGCUGCAGCUGAGCCAGAAGCGUCCCCACUGUCUUACCCGAUAGUGGGAUUUUACACGGUGUCGGCUAAGGGUGGCUUUGUGAGAAGACCAUUUCAGAAGAAGAAACGGGGCUCUGGCUGGUGGGGUAGAAACCCCUAUGGAAUGAAAAGUACUCCCAGUCUCUUUGAGGAAGAUUGCAAAGUAAGGCCCUUUCUGCGGAUCUUUCCCUAGAAACCCCGCUGGGCUCCGGC